AUUGAACGCUGGCGGCAGGCCUAACACAUGCAAGUCGAACGAGUGGCGGACGGGUGAGUAAUGUCUGGGAAACUGCCUGAUGGAGGGGGAUAACUACUGGAAACGGUAGCUAAUACCGCAUACCAUCGGAUGUGCCCAGAUGGGAUUAGCUAGUAGGUGGGGUAAAGGCUCACCUAGGCGACGAUCCCUAGCUGGUCUGAGAGGAUGACCAGCCAAACUGGGACGGAGACACGGUCCAGACUCCUACGGGAGGCAGCAGUGGGGAAUAUUGGACAAUGGGCGCAAGCCUGAGGCAGCCAUGCCGCGUGUAGGAAGAAGGCCUUCGGGUUGUAAAGUACUUUCGGCGGGGAGGCGUUACCCGCAGAAGAAGCACCGGCUAACUCCGUGCCAGCAGCCGCGGUAAUAC
rnacentral:rRNA from 1 species